AAGUCGUAACAAGGUUUCCGUAGGUGAACCUGCGGAAGGAUCAUUAGCGAAGCUCGGGACGCUUGCGAAUAUUGAUGCUGCCUGGCAACAGGAUGUGCUCGUAUCUGCAUGUGUUCCCUUCUCUAUUCCACCCCACUGUGAACCAAGUGUGCUAGCUGAUGAGAUAUCGGAAGCUGGCAUGCAACCUUUAACAUACCCCCAAUGAAGUAUCAGAAUGUACCUUGCGUUAACUCGCACAAAUACAACUUUCAACAACGGAUCUCUUGGCUCUC
rnacentral:misc_RNA from 1 species